rnacentral:rRNA from 1 species
CAGCCGCCACGGUAAUACAGAGGAUGCAAGCGUUAUCCGGAAUGAUUGGGCGUAAAGCGUCUGUAGGUGGCUUUUCAAGUCCGCCGUCAAAUCCCCGGGCUCAACCCUGGACAGGCAGUGGAAACUACCAAGAUGGAGUACGGUAGGGGCAAAGGGAAUUUCCGGUGGAGCGGUGAAAUGCAUUGAGAUCGGAAAGAACACCAACGGCGAAGGCACUCUGCUGGGCCGACACUGACACUGAGAGACGAAAGCUAGGGGAGCAAAUGGGAUUAGAUACCCCCGUAGUCCCUGUCUCUUAUAC